rnacentral:rRNA from 1 species
GAUGAACGCUGGCGGCGUGCUUAACACAUGCAAGUCGAACGGGAAGUACUUUAUUGCACCUUCGGUCGAUUUAAUUUAAUUCUGGUGUCGGUCGGGUGAGUAACGCGUGGGUAACCUGCCUUAUACAGGGGGAUAACAGUCAGAAAUGGCUGCUAAUACCGCAUAAGCGCACACAGCUGCAUGGCUCGGUUCGGAAAACUCCGGUGAUAUAAAAUGGACCCGCGUUGUAUACGCUUGUUGGGGGGGUAAAGGCCCACAAAGGCGAGGUUCCAUAGCCGGGAUGAGAGGCGGAGUCGAGACAUCUAGAGGGAGCCACAGCCGAGAAUCCUACGCGAGGGAGCAGUGCGGAAUACUGCACAAUGGGGGAAAUGCUGAUGCACUGACGCCGCGUGAAGGAAGAAGUAUCGCGGUAUGUAAACUUCUAUCAGCCGGGAAGAUAGUGACGGUACCUGAAGAAGAAGCCCCGGCUAACUACGUG